rnacentral:rRNA from 1 species
UACGUAGGGGGCAAGCGUUGUCCGGAUUUAUUGGGCGUAAAGAGCGUGUAGGCGCUUUGCAAGUCCGUUGUGAAAACGUCGAGGCUCAACCUCGAGACGCCGGGUGGAAACUGCAAAGCUAGAGUCCGGAAGAGGAGAGUGGAAUUCCUGGUGUAGCGGUGAAAUGCGCAGAUAUCAGGAAGAACACCCGUGGCGGAAGGCGGCGUCUCUGGGACGGUACUGACGCUGAGACGCGAAAGCGUGGGGAGCGAACAGG